rnacentral:lncRNA from 1 species
CUCGGAAGCAGCCCCCUCCCUUUGAGGCUGCAGCUUCGCCCUGUCUUGGGAACCGGACCAAGGAGACGCCCCCUCCCCCCCCAGACCUGAAACUCCGCAGAUGGGGAAAAGGCUGUCUCUGUGAGGAGUGGAAAGAGGUCUUCCUUGCACUGAGGGGCCCUAGCUCUUCCAGAAUGAUGGACAGCAGCCUCUUCCUCUUCCUCCUCCUUCUGAGGGGGGUCCCAGGUGGAGGCCUCCCCCUCCCAGCCCUGGUUGCCCUGACCCAUCCUGUCAGCAGGUUGUGUUGAAGCAAAACUGGGGGCGUCCGUCCCUGUCUGGAGAGGAAACCCACCACCCGCCCUGAUCCAGAGAUGGAGGGCAAGCUCGGGGGGUCUUCCAGCGCAGGUGGGUGAUGGCUGCACAAUCCCUUGAACCUGGCAGGGAGGCUUAACGGGUCUGGGGCAGAGGGUCAGUUCUGGGGGCCACAGGGGGGAAGGGGUUCCAAUGUCUGGAAGGUUCAGUCACUGAGGAGGUCCUGUUCACCUUGCUCCCCAAGUGGGACCAAAAGAUACCAAAAAAUCCGUAGGCUGGAUGGCCUUUGUCGGGGGUUGUACUGGAUAGUUCUUGGGUUCUCUUCUGAC